AUUGAACGCUGGCGGCAGGCCUAACACAUGCAAGUCGAACGAGUGGCGGACGGGUGAGUAAUGUCUGGGAAACUGCCCGAUGGAGGGGGAUAACUACUGGAAACGGUAGCUAAUACCGCAUACCAUCGGAUGUGCCCAGAUGGGAUUAGCUAGUAGGUGGGGUAACGGCUCACCUAGGACACGAUCCCUAGCUGGUCUGAGAGGAUGACCAGCCACACUAGGACGUAGACACGGUCCAGACUGCUACUGGUGGAAAAAGUGGGGAAUAGUGCACAAUGGGCGCAAGCCUGAUGCAGGCAUGCCGCGUGUAUGAAGAAGGCCGUCGGGUGGUAAAGUACUUUCAGCGAGGAGACGUUACUCGCAGAAGAAGCACCGGCUAACUCCGUGCCAGCAGCCGCGGUAAUAC
rnacentral:rRNA from 1 species